GAUGAACGCUAGCUACAGGCUUAACACAUGCAAGUCGCGGGGCAGCAUGUCGGUUGCUUGCAACCGAUGAUGGCGACCGGCGCACGGGUGAGUAACGCGUAUCCAACCUGCCCUUCACCACGGAAUAAUCCAGUGAAAAUUGGUCUAAUACCGUAUGAGGUCAUACGAUGGCAUCAGAAUAUGACGAAAGGUUUGGCGGUGAAGGAUGGGGAUGCGUCUGAUUAGCUUGUUGGUGAGGUAACGGCUAACCAAGGCGACGAUCAGUAGGGGUUCUGAGAGGAAGGUCCCCCACAUUGGAACUGAGACACGGUCCAAACUCCUACGGGAGGCAGCGGUGAGGAAUAUUGGUCAAUGGGCGAGAGCCUGAACCAGCCAAGUAGCGUGCAGGAAGACGGCCCUAUGGGUUGUAAACUGCUUUUAUAUGGGGAUAAAGUGAGCUACGUGUAGUUUAUUGCAGGUACCAUAUGAAUAAGGACCGGCUAAUUCCGUGCCAGCAGCCGCCGUAA
rnacentral:rRNA from 1 species